GACAUAUUUAUAAUGACCAAACUAUGUGUAACUCUAUUACUGUGUUUUAUCUAUGUCACCUGGAAUGCAUAUGAGACGGAAGGCAAGCCGAGGAAAAGGCGUCCUUGUCACCACAACGGGACAACACUGCCUCCGGGGUAUUAUGGAGCACAGGAAUAUCCUUGUGAAUACUGGUGGUGCCGCCGCAACGGAAACGUCUCUGUAACUAAAUGCCGACAACCAUCACCUCCUCGUGACAGCGGCUACGGUAAUUGCAAAAACGUUAGAUACGGUGGAAAGUGGCCUCACUGCUGUCGUUAUACUCGUCUCUGUUAAACACUGUGUAGCAUUUUCGUUGAAUACCCAUAUAUUAGCAGGAAUAUUGAGCGGAAGUGCUCUUGGAAGAAUGUAACUAGAACUUUGUAAUCAAAUCAUUCUGUAUAGAUAAGCUAUGAUGAAUGUAUGUGUUUAGAUAAAUAAAGAAUGAUGAUUGACCUGACAA